AUGCUCUUAGGCCCACUAAAACAAUCAGACCCCCAAACCCCAUCUUCUUCGCUGCUACCUCUCUUCACCCCGUUCAUCAUCAUCUUCCAUCAUCACCAUUUAUCAAUCAUCAUCAGCAUCACCGUCCAUCCUCGACGGUCAUCAAUCAUCACCCUUCGUUCAUCUUCAUCAAUCAACCUCAUCGAGUCAUCGUCCACCGUCGAUCAUCCACUAUCAUCAAUCAUCAGCGAUUCAAUUUUGAUCAAGAGGCCAUUUGCUUCUCACCAUUAAACAUCACUCGGUUCAAAUUUGCUGCCCUUAUAAUCCAAUCACGACCAUCAAAUUCGAACAGUACGGCGGUGAAUCGAGCGGACUAGUACCACCACCGUCACGAGCUUUCAUUAAUUCCGUACACCAACCCGUGCGAGCGCACCGUUUUGUUGUGCGGGCGCACCUCUCUACAAUGUCAAUUUUGACAACAAUCAGUAGCUUUUUUACAGGAGUUGAUUUCUAGUGAGUCGUGAUUCGCACAGUGGCCCCCGUACUUAGGUAUUCCAGGUACGUACAAGACUAGGGUGACCACCCAUCCCUUGAGGACUUUAUGAAGUGUAUUGAAUGCGAAUCAUGUGAACUUAUAUGCUAUGAAUUCAUGUUUGAUGAUUGGGAAUGAUUAUGUUGUUAUGAAUUCAUGUUUAAUGUUGAGAACAAGCAUGUUAUUAUUAUUAUUGAAUCUAUGUGAACGAGCAUGUUAUGAAUUGAAUUAUGCUUUAUAGAUUCUGCUGAACUAUCAUGUUAUGGACUUUUAUAAUCGUUGAAUUAUGUCAAGCAUGUUGUUCAAGUUGGUUUGCAUGUAUGAGUAGUGCGCAUGCAAGUUGUGAUUAUUAUUAUGCUAUAGUACAGGAUGUCUAGCAUAAAUACUGAGCCAGUCGAAUAUUGCCAGUGAGCAAUAUAUAUUCUACCAAAGGGGUAGAAUAUGUUAGAGAGUCUAUGUGAAUUGAAUUAAGGACAAUUCGUGCUAAGGGCACACCCCGCUUGUUAAUAGGCAAUGUCGGGUUAUCUCAAACAGUGUUUUUGAGAAGGAACAAUGGGAGUAAUUUCACUUGAGUCUAUGUUUGAUCACAAGUCCUAAAGAAGUAAAAUAUGUUGAAUUGCUGAAAUGUUUAAUUGUUCAUUCGUUGUAUGAUUGUGUCUUGAGUCGCCUUGAACAUAAUGCACUAAUUAACGUAAAGUGUAACCCAAAGAGCUUCAAAACUCUUGGAAUGUAUAUACCUUGAGUAUGAACAAUGGGGGGAGUCUUGCCGGAAAACUUGUACUCCUAGAAUGAUACAAGACGUUGUUUCAUUCUCUUGCCGUUGUGCAUUGGAAUUCCUGUCGGUAUGGCCCGACUGUCGGUAGUAGCCCGACUUAUUUUUGGUGUAUGGUUGGCUCCCAUCACCCUUUCUUUCCUUUUGAGGAUACUUUACUUUACCCGUUCGAAGCUACUUUCUAUUAAACUGUGAGUCAAGAGUGGUGUCAUGUGUCGAGUCUUGUCUCCAUGAUUAUCUGUUUAUUACAUGGCUUUUGCAUGUUGAUUAUUUAAUUUGUCGAGUGAAGCAUGUUAGGAUAGAAUGUUAUUCUAGCUUGUUCGUACUCAGCUUUUGCUGACUUCGUGCUUCAUGUCUUCUGGUCAUGGCCUUUGCCUUAAUGACCCUAUGAUGAACCAUCAAUUGCAUUUGCGUUGUUGGGGAGUAGAUUUUUAAUAAAGCAGGUUUGUAGAGAUAACUUGCGGGAGAAGUUAUCAUGGGAUCCGAGUUGAGAGUUUUAUGCUUCCGUAAUUUAUAAAGUCUAUUUUUAUUUAUAGUCAUGACUAAUACUACUAUUUUCAGUUAACGGAUUUUCAAACGGUUUGUUUUAGUUUGGUCCUCAACGGUUCCAACUUGUUUUAAUUACCAUUAACUAUUUAUUUAAUAUGUUUUGAAAGUUAGUUAAUUCCGCUGCGUAAUUCUGGUAAAUAGCCUUAGCCGUUAUCACGGUGGCGGUAAUAUCUUGGUAAUUCCUGUGUUUUAAGUUGGAAAAUAUUUUAUAAAAAGCAAGGAAUUAUUAGGGUGUUACACUUUUAAUUGGAAGACCUUUACUUAUUAUUUUGAUUGGUUUACUUUCACUAAAUUUGUGUUUACUUUUAAAAAUAUGAAGAAAAUAAUCUCCAAAAAGCAAACUACAAAAAGAAAUGACAGUUUAGUUUGUCUCUACUAGCUCUUUAUGUUGGCUAGGCUGUAACUGGUGAUUUUCACCUUGAUUAUCGUCAGUAUAAUCACAUCUUACUAGUUAUACAACAAUCUGAUAAAAAUAUCCUAAAAUCCAUAAAAUCUAUUUGUUCUAAUGAGAGAAUAGCUAAGGAUCAUUUUGAUUCGUAGCACACUUUCGGUUACUGUUAGAAUUUUGAGCAGUCUGUUUCUAGCAGUCAUUGAAAAAGUUUUCCUGUUUUGUGAUGAAUUUCUCGUACAUGUUUAUUUAGGAAAACUAUGCAGAUGAAUUUGUUCUGAUAUUGUUGUCUUAUCACAUGAAUACUUCCUAACACAUGUUGAUCAGUCGAUGUAUCCCAUGUUAAGUCAGAGCUUCUAUAACGAGAAGAGUUUUUGAUGAUUACCAGUGUUGUGUACUUGUAUAUACUCCAAUCUGACAUAUUAAUUUCCCAGCAACUAAAAUUUUCGGGGUUAUUCACAAAUUUAUACCCCAGAAAAAUGAGCUGUGCACAAUUGACAGGGUUGGAUUACUAUCGGACGUCACUCCAAUUUUACAUAAGAACAGGCUCCGUCAUCCAAAUAGUAAUCACAACAAGAAGUGGAAAAGCCAAUAAUAUAUCUGCUACGUGUGUUUCUCCAUGGUAACCCAUCAAUGCCCAAGGUCAUUAACUCGACAAGCCAAUCUUUUGGGGUGAUGAUUAUAAUGGUCAAGGGAAGCAGCUCCAAAGAACAAAGACUGAAAGGGUCUCCCAUGUCCAUAUUGCGCAAAUGCACACAAGAUGUGCGUUCAAAUUCCGUAUAGGUUCGUCUUUGUAUGAGUUGGUUAAUUAGUUUUCUACUCUUAUUAUUUACUUUUUGUAUUGUUUUAUUUACUUUAAACUUAAAAAACUUUACUUUUGAAUUCAUUUAAUUUACUUUUUGUACAUGUAUUCAGAGAUACGUUUACUUUUUAGUUAUUAUGAUUUACUUUUGAGGUA